UACGGAGGGUGCAAGCAUUAUCCGGAUUCACUGGGUUUAAAGGGUGCGUAGGUGGGCAAGUAAGUCAGUGGUGAAAUCUCCGGGCUUAACCCGGAAACUGCCAUUGAUACUAUUUGUCUUGAAUACUGUGGAGGUCAGCGGAAUAUGUCAUGUAGCGGUGAAAUGCUUAGAUAUGACAUAGAACACCAAUUGCGAAGGCAGCUGGCUACACAAAUAUUGACACUGAGGCACGAAAGCGUGGGGAUCAAACAGG
rnacentral:rRNA from 1 species